rnacentral:lncRNA from 9 species
UACGCUCAGAGUCCCCAUCUGGUUUCAACCUGCCUCUUCCCCUCUGCCCCCCCCAUCUUCCCUGAAUUCCAGCCUCCAGGGUGGUACCCAUGUUCCGGGACCCACUUCUGAGUGCCAGCCGGAGCCCAUGCAAGGACCUCUCCUUGGUAUGCCCUUCUUCUCCCUUCUUCUGGUCCUAUCGUGACAGGUGACUUAGACGGGCACACGUGACGCCCACACCUCCCACAGUGAUUCUCCACAGGGGCCCAUUGUGUCUCUCGGGGAACUUGACACUGUCUGGAGACCACUUGGCUUGCUGCUGAGGUCUGAAGGAGCCCAAACAGACGGAGACAGUUGGCCGGACUGGCAAGGAGUGCUGCUGUGGGUGGCGCCCAGGGGUGUCGCUACAUCCUGCUGUGUCCAGGACAGCCCCACAACGAGGAAUUGUCAGCCCCAAAGGUCAGUCGUGCUGAGAUGGAGGAACCCCGCCCCAAAGGCUUACCCCCAUGGACAAGCAUCACAGCAAAUCUGGGAAGCUCCUUAGACAUGUAGACUCCUGGGCCCCACCCCAGACCAUGUACAUCAGACUCUGCGUUUGAGCAGCGCCCCCCAGAGGAGUUCUGUGUUCGUUUGAGACCCAGACUGCACAGUGAGGUAGCCAGGGCUUGCGUGGAUUACACAUGUGGAUAACAGUUGCCAUGAAGGCAACAGCUCCAGGAGUUCCCACUGUGACGCAGUGGGUUCAUGAUCCAGCUUGUCUCUGUGGAGGUGCCGGUUCGAUCCCCCACCCGGAUCAGGGGGUGAAGGUUGCUGCAGCUGUGGUGUAAGUUGCAGCUCUGGCUUGGUUUGGACUGGAUCCCUGGCUCAGGAACUUCCACGUGUUGCACUGAGGAUGAAAAAGGGAAAGAGGGAAGGAAGAGGGAGGGAGAAGGAAGGAAGGAGGCAUGAAAGCAAGCGCUACAGAGAAAAGCAAUUGAAAAACUAAAGCUUUACAGAUCACAUGUAUUAAAUAAAGUCUGCUUUGCAAAGACUGUGUAAUCUCCCAAUGCCUGUUAAACUGCUCGUGCUUCCAGACUCUGCCAUGCUUGACUGAAAUAAACAUUAUUCAUAAUUUUUAAAAAGAGAAUGAAUG